AUUGAACGCUGGCGGCAGGCCUAACACAUGCAAGUCGAACGAGUGGCGGACGGGUGAGUAAUGUCUGGGAAACUGCCUGAUGGAGGGGGAUAACUACUGGAAACGGUAGCUAAUACCGCAUACCAUCGGAUGUGCCCAGAUGGGAUUAGCUAGUAGGGGGGGUAACGGCUCACCUAGGCAAAGAUCCCUAGCUGGUCUGAGAGGCUGACCCGCCACACUGGAACUGAGACACGGUCCAGAUUCCUACGGGAGGCAGCAGUGGGGAAUAUUGGACAAUGGGCGAAAGCCUGAUGCAGCCAGGCCGCGUGUAUGAAGAAGGCCGUCGGGUUGUAAAGUACUUUCAGCGGGGAGGCGUUACCCGCAGAAGAAGCACCGGCUAACUCCGUGCCAGCAGCCGCGGUAAUUC
rnacentral:rRNA from 1 species